rfam:Pichia guilliermondii ATCC 6260 scaffold_1 genomic scaffold, whole genome shotgun sequence.
GGGCGUGUGGUCUAGUGGUAUGAUUCUCGCUUUGGGCUUUGCUGGAAACAGCUAAAGUAUGUGAGAGGCCCUGGGUUCAAUUCCCAGCCCGCCCC